ensembl:lncRNA
UGAUUAUUAAAAAGUGCUUUCCCAGUGACAAAAUACCAUAAAAAAUGUGGCUGAUUAUUGAAAGCUGACAAUUUUAUUGCUGUUGUAUAAUUCCCCUGCUCUGCAGGACAUUACAGUCUAAAGGGUUUACAUUAUUUUUACAAAUGGAAAGAUUUUCUUGGCCAUGCUCUUUUGAAAUAGGACCUUCCAGAUGUUUUACCUGAAAAUGUGUUUGUGUAUAUGGGAAGGGCACAGAGAGACCCAAAAAAUGGGGGCUUCAGGAAACCAGAGCAACAUGCCAAUAUCACAUGUAACACAACCCCUUCCCCCCAAGUGAGAAGCUGGAUUUCCACAGAAGGAAAGCCAAAGUGACCACCAUGGGCUUUUGGUUUAACAUUUACAUCUAAUCAUCGACACCCUGCAACCCUGACUCAUCUCGAAGAAAUGAACGCAAGCAGUCCCGUACUUUCUGGCACUGUCCGAUGGAGUUGGUUGUUGGCAAAUGAAUUCAGUUUCUCUCCUGAAAGGUGUUGAUGCUGGGGACACUCUGGCUCUGUGCAAUUUCUGGGGUCGAUGCCAUGUUCUGAUACGUGUCUCACUUAAAGAGAUGGCACUCUGGGUUUCCUUAUUGGCGAGGAGGAUCCAGGUGCAUGCACUCUUUCCUUGCUGCUUUGAAGAGCCUAACCAAAUAGAUAAGAAGUCUUCAUGUUCUACCAUCACCCUUGGUUGAUCCUGUAAGAUGUGAGCUCUUUUAAACUCUGGAACUACAAAAUGAACUUGUUCUUCUUACAAAAUCAAGACAGAAACUGUGAUGGAGAAACCUGCCACAUGCUUCCAUCCUACUUCAGUUCUUCCUUUCAUGCGUGAGUUAGGCCCUCUGUAGUUUGGCUUUCCCCUAAACAGAAGGCAGAGAAGACAGCCUGUGAAGACAGACCCAGGGCAGGAGGGUCAUGAUCAGGAUAGAAGAAACAGCCAAAGAGCAGAGAGCAAGAUGAUAGAGUUUCCAGCUGUGGGACCCUGCAAGUACCAUUGUAAGCAAGAAGAAAGACCAUGAGGGACAACUCUUGGAGAAAGAAGGCUUCUCUGCACUGGGCACUAUACUAAGUGAUUGGAUGUGUACUAACCACUAUAAUCAUCUGAUGCACCAAUAGGGAGGUCUCUCCUAUUAUUACUCUCAUUUGUAGGCAAAAUUAUCCAGGCAAAGAGGAGUUUAGUAUUGUGGUCUAAAUCAUCCACAAACAGCACAUAUAAGCUGAACCCUGAAGCCCAGAGUUGGAGCCUGAUACAGGGGCUCUUAAAAAUGCUAGGAAGAAAGAGCUCUUCUGUGUGCCCACUGCACUUGUAGAGAACAUGAGAAUUAGAUGGGGCUAAGGAGAGAAAUUUCUCCUAGCAUCUAGAUCCGGAAGUAAUGUGUUGACUUACUUCAGCACACAGGCCUCCGUGUUCUUUGGGUAUCACCUCUAGUCUGUUAACUGAUGUAAUUGUGACAGGGAGAGGGGCUGGGGAGAAAGAUCAGUGGACAAAGUGAUUCCUGGGAAAAUGGAAAUCUGAGUCUGGUUUCCUAGCAUGGAAAAAUGCCAGGUGUGGCCCUGAGCAUCUGCAACCUCAGUACAGGGAGGAAAAGACAGCUUAGCUGAAAUGGCAAGCUCUAGGUUUAGUGAAGAUACCUUGUCUCAAAAAAUCAUGUGGAAACCAAUUUAAAAAAUAUGUGGAAAGCUGCAGGGUGUUGGUGGCACAUGCCUUUAAUCCCAGUACUCGGGAGGCAGAGGCAGUGGCAGAUGAGUCUCUGUGAGUUCAAGGCCAGCCUGGUCUACAGAGCAAGUGCCAGGAUAGGCUCCAAAAUUACGCAGAGAAACCCUGUCUCCAAAAACCAAAAUAAAAAAGUGGAAAACAAUUGAAGAAGACAUCCUGAUACUGACCUCUGAACCAGAGUAUAUGCAUGAGCCCACAACCCCUUAAGCAUGUGUGUAUUUACAUAACCACGUUCAUAUGCAGAACACACACACACACACACACACACACACACAGAGUUAUGAAAUGAUAUGUGUGAGGCAGGGUGUGCAGCAGAGAGGGGGCAGUUGAAGAGACAAAAGGGGGUUUAACUCUCAGCUCUAUGCUUUAUGGAGUCGAUGGACACAGCUUUCCAAGAUACAAGAAGAGAAAACAAAUCAGAAAUUAGAUAAGGCAAAGAGACUGAAUGCAAGCAUGGUCAGUGCUAAAAGUCGAAAGAAGAGCAAAUGAGGAAGCUGCUCAAAUAAGCCCCACAUCUACAACCAGAAGUCAAGUGAUGGGUGGUGGGUGACAGACAGCUCAUGGCAUGCCCGAGACCGCCUGUUGUUGGUGCAGAUGAUCAGAGGCCCCAGCACCAGGCAGGCCCUUUCUCUACUCGGGUGACACAACACACAUGUGAGGAUUGUAAGAUGAGGCCCUUAGGGCUCUGCUCACAAUGAAAACAUUGUUCAAGCCCUUUACACAUGACUCAGGGUGCAUUGUAUGUCUCACUGAAAAAAAGAUGAGCUUUACCUACAAGCACUAACGUGUUGGCCAAGUUGAAAGUGGUGCACGGUUACAUAAGAACUACAAAUACCUGGGGAGCCAGCACCUUGUAUGGGACAGGCUGAACUCCUGGAGGCAAAGUGCCAGAGCCUUCGUUGCCAGCAGCCAAGAAUCAUUGUGGUUGGACUGGGUGUUUCAUUUUGUUUUGACCCUAGAUUUUUGGCAGUGUGUCCUGAAUGCCAAGUGGGGCCCCUGAACCCUGCCUGAUACUGGCCUGCAUUUUAUGAUUAUUCCUGUUUUUCUCUAUUUGAAAAAGAGUGGGUAACAAAACUAGGGGAAAGGAAAGAGUAAUUAAAACACGUGUGUGCUAAGCCUGCAAGAGGUCGAGUGCAACGUUUAAUAAACAAACCUGUAUCUAAGUAUAGGUUCAAGUCUUGGCUCCAUCAUGUCUUAGCUGUGGGUUCCCUGAUAAUUGCUCAGUGUUCCCAAGUUUCCUUUUUUUUUUUUUUGUCUGUAAAAUAGGCACAACCCCCAAGAGUUCAUGUGAGAACAUGUGAGAUAUUCACAAGAAAUAGCUUGGCUUCAUAAGUGGUACCCAAAGCCUAGCAUGUGUCAGCAAGUAUUAUCCAUAUAAUAAGGGGAUGGUCUCCCCCAGAUCCCUCCAGGGAUGCUAAGACUGAAAUAAAACAUCAGCAAAAUAGCUCUUUUGAAUAGUACUGUGUAGUGUGGUACAGUGAGAACAACUCUGGACAUGGGGUUGGAAGGCUUAGACUUUAUACCUUCAUCUUCUCAACACUUCAGAAUCAGGAAAAGUUACAUCCCAUCAAUGUGCAUUCCCUUCCAGUCCUGAUACUUCUCAUUCCACUUUCUGCCUUCAGCAAGAAAUUUGUGGAAGCUACUCCCGUUUCCACUAGCUGGAGAUCCCGCAGACUGACUUAGCAAGAAAAAGAAAGAUUGUGAUAUGCUCCUUUCUCCUGUUAUCACACACUUGGGUGCUGAAGCAGGAUGGUCAAGAGUUCAAAGCUGGGGCUGGAGAGAUGGCUCAGAGGUUAAGAGCACUGACUGCUCUUCCAGAGGUCCUGAGUUCAAUUCCCAGCAACCACAUGGUGACUCACAAGCAUCCGCUAUGAGAUCUGGUGCCGUCUUCUGGUGUGCAGAUAUACAUGGAAGCAGAAUGUUGUAUAAUAAUAAAUAAAUAAAAUCUUAAAAAAAUAAAAAAGAGUUCAAAGCUAACUUAGGUUACUUUGUAAGGC